CUAGUUAGAAUUUUGUACUUGAUCCUAAUUUGUUCUAGGGUCUUUUAGAACAAAUGUACCUCCCACUAUUUUCUCGAAUCCUUCACACUCCCCUGGUAGGGAAACGAAAAUCCUACGCGACUAGGGUUUCUAGUGGGUACUGCGGUCCCACCGAUUUACAUGCCGCCUCACCUAACAGUUAUUGGUGACACAUGAAUGGAUGAGUGUACAACUCUUGUACAAUGCUUCUCAAGCAUGUUGCAAUGCAACUUGGUCUCUAAGCCAUGAAGACCUCACCUAACAGUUAUUGGUCCCAUUUCUUAGUUAAGUCAGACCCACUGUAUAACCGUAGGAAUAAAGUCGUCAUUGGGUCCUCACCUAACAGUUAUUGGUGCCCAACCCCACCUUUACCCUACAACAUCUCAUGUCUAUAGAGAGGUCCAGCCCCCCGAUGCAACUUGCCCACUGUAUCCAGCCGAGACAAAUCAAUAUCAGAAAGACCUUAGCAGCUCUACUACAGUG
rnacentral:lncRNA from 1 species